rnacentral:rRNA from 1 species
CCUACGGGCGGCAGCAGUGAGGAAUAUUGGUCAAUGGACGAGAGUCUGAACCAGCCAAGUAGCGUGAAGGAUGACUGCCCUAUGGGUUGUAAACUUCUUUUAUAUGGGAAUAAAACGUUCCACGUGUGGGAUUUUGUAUGUACCCUAUGAAUAAGGAUCGGCUAACUCCGUGCCAGCAGCCGCGGUAAUACGGAGGAUCCGAGCGUUAUCCGGAUUUAUUGGGUUUAAAGGGAGCGUAGGUGGAUUGUUAAGUCAGUUGUGAAAGUUUGCGGCUCAACCGUAAAAUUGCAGUUGAAACUGGCAGUCUUGAGUACAGUAGAGGUGGGCGGAAUUCGUGGUGUAGCGGUGAAAUGCUUAGAUAUCACGAAGAACUCCGAUUGCGAAGGCAGUUCACUGGACUGCAACUGACACUGAGGCUCGAAAGUGUGGGUAUCAAACAGGAUUAGAUACCCCAGUAGUC